rnacentral:lncRNA from 1 species
GGAAAAGGAAAUAUUCAUCAUGGAAUAGGGCAGAGCAACAACAACAAAAAAGGUAAAGGAGAGAAGGCAAAGGUCGUGCUUCACGAUACGAGAGCAACCUCUGUGAUGGAGGAUAUGCUUAUAGAAAUGGUAGUGGUGGUGAUGUUUUAGUGAGACUGGGAAUCAAAGCACCGGAGACAGAAAAGAGGACUGUUCUAGUAUCCUGCUGUGCCUAGCCACCAAGACAAGAGACCGAGAACAUGGCGGCUACACGGUGGCUUCACGUCUGAGUAGACUAGCAUGGGUACUUCUGCCCUGUGUCUGCAGUAAUUUGGUGCUGCUCUUAUCGUUGCAGAUCCCAGACUUCUGCAGCCUAGGGAGUCAAGGAAAGAAUGUUCCAGACUAUUCUAAAGCUGUUUACUGUGUCUCCAGAAAGUUAACAGCCUCCUGCCUAUUCUGAGCCCUGAACAAUCUUGCUCCAGGCUAUUCUGGCAGCUGUGAGGCUAAGGGUGCAAUGAGAUGGAAAGUCCAUGUACACUGGAGAUUUAAGUCAUAAAAACAACCUAGGUCCCAGGCCUAGCCUCUACUUCAGCAUCCCCUACAUCUUCCCCCAAGCGCGACCCUGUGAUUAAUGGGUUAAACAAGUUAGCCCUGCCCAUAAGCACCUGGUAAACAGCUCAGGACUCCUGCAUGCUGAAUAGACUCAUAUACAUGAUAGAAGCUCAUCUAGCUGAACUCCCUAGGGAGCCCAACAAGUUGGUUCCUUGGCCCCAAGCCUUGCCUUUCAGAUUCAUAAUUUACUACAAUUCUCAGAUUUAUAUCACAUGAUAUGUUAGGUUCUGCAGAGGGUGGAACCAACCCAUAGAAUUAAUAUAAAGUUUAAAAGGAUUUAUUAGGUUGGCUUAUGCAGUGCCUGUCUUCACACUGGAAAGGCUGAGAUCCAAUCACAGCUCAGUGGACGAGGCUGGAUACCUCAGCUACCCCAUUCUGAUGUUGAAGGUUUGCCUGAGUCCUGCAGAGCCAUGAGUCUUUAGCUCACAUUGGAAGCCUGAAGGAUCAGGGUUCUGGUGGUGAAGGAUAACAGGGGUAUUAGUGGUGGCACUGACUGAGUAGAUGAACCUGCACCAGUGAGACACAAAGGCAAUCAGGCAAAGCGCAAAAGCUUUCCCCCUUGACCUGUUCUCAUCUGACCUACCUGCGCAAGGUGCUGCUCACACUUAGGCUAAGACUUCACGCUUUAGUGAAGCUAGAAAAUUCCUCACAGAAUUGAUGGGCCGGGACAUUUCUUAGUUGAUUCUGGCUCCAAAUAAACGAUCAAAAUCAGUCACCACAUUGGAGCAGAAUGAGGGGAAGGAACACAGAUAUCCAGGAAUCUGGUGUGACGAGCUCCUCAGAGCCUUCAAGCAACACUUUCUCUGGCUUCCUAGGACCCAGUUCUCCACACUGACCAUGCAGGCUCUCUGCAUACCGCUUUCUAGUCUGAGGAACCAAGUGUGUAUACCUUCCAUGGGGAUUAAAUAUUUACUACAACACACUGCAGUCGUUCUUGCUUAUUCGGGUGAUUACGAAGCUCUUACCAGACAAUGGAUGCUUGUAUUUCCAUGUUUCUGCCAUGCUAGUCCUCUCCAUGCUGCUUCAUCUGUUUUCCAGAUGAGUGUGGAUUGCGAGAACUCCCAACCAUGAGCAGAGAUUCUCAUAGAAGAGGAAACCUGUAGUCAAGUAGGAGCCAGACUCUUCUUGAAGGUGAACUAGAAAAGUGGUGAAUCUGAAAAGUGGUGGUGUCUCAACAAACAAGGCAUGCUUCAGCCCAGGGUUUCAGAGGCCAUCCAGGAAGACAGGCUAUAAAACCAUGGCUAUGACUAGCUGUAAUGAGAUUAGCC